GAGCGGCAGGCUAUACAUGCAGUCGUACGCCCUCUUCGGAGGGAGUGGCAGACGGGUGAGUAACACGUGGGAACCUACCUAGGGGUACGGAAUAACUCAGGGAAACUUGUGCUAAUACCGUAUACGACCUUCGGGUGAAAGAUUUAUCGCCCCUAGAUGGGCCCGCGCUGGAUUAGCUAGUUGGUGGGGUAAAAGCCUACCAAGGCGACGAUCCAUAGCUGGUCUGAGAGGAUGAUCAGCCACACUGGGACUGAGACACGGCCCAGACUCCUACGGGAGGCAGCAGUAGGGAAUCUUGGACAAUGGGCGAAAGCCUGAUCCAGCCAUGCCGCGUGAGUGAUGAAGGCCUUAGGGUUGUAAAGCUCUUUCGCCAGGGAAGAUAAUGACGGUACCUGGAUAAGAAGCCCCGGCAAACUUCGUGCCAGCAGCCGCGGUAAUACGAAGGGGGCUAGCGUUGUUCGGAAUUACUGGGCGUAAAGCGCACGUAGGCGGCUUUCCAAGUUGGAGGUGAAAUCCCCGGGCUCAACUCGGGAACUGCCUCCAAAACUGGACGGCUCGAGUCCGAG
rnacentral:rRNA from 1 species